rnacentral:piRNA from 1 species
UCUCAAAUAGAAAUCUCUUUGCCUGUGAU